rnacentral:rRNA from 1 species
GCGAACGCUGGCGGCAGGCUUAACACAUGCAAGUCGAGCGCCCGGGCAACCGGGAGCGGCAGACGGGAGAGUAACACGUGGGAACGUGCCCUUCAGUUCGGAACAACCCAGGGAAACUUGGGCUAAUACCGGAUAAGCCCUUACGGGGAAAGAUUUAUCGCUGAAGGAUCGGCCCGCGUCUGAUUAGCUAGUUGGUGGGGUAAUGGCCCACCAAGGCGACGAUCAGUAGCUGGUCUGAGAGGAUGAUCAGCCUCACUGGGACUGAGACACGGCCCAGACUCCUACGGGAGGCAGCAGUGGGGAAUAUUGGACAAUGGGCGCAAGCCUGAUCCAGCCAUGCCGCGUGGGUGAUGAAGGCCCUAGGGUUGUAAAGCCCUUUCGGCGGGAAGAUAAU